GACGAACGCUGGCGGCGUGCUUAACACAUGCAAGUCGAACGGAAAGGCCUGCUUUCCCUUGUGGAUUGCGGGUACUCGAGUGGCGAACGGGUGAGUAACACGUGAGUGAUCUGCCCCCAACUUGGGUAUAAGCCUGGGAAACUGGGUCUAAUUCCCGAUAGGACUGCAGGGUGGUGCAUGUGGUGGAAAACGAUUUUCUAGUGGUUGGGGAUGAGCUCGCGGCCUAUCAGCUUGUUGGUGGGGUAAUGGCCUACCAAGGCGGCGACGGGUAGCCGGCCUGAGAGGGUGGACGGCCACAUUGGGACUGAGAUACGGCCCAGACUCCUACGGGAGGCAGCAGUGGGGAAUAUUGCACAAUGGGCGGAAGCCUGAUGCAGCGACGCCGCGUGGGGGAUGACGGCCUUCGGGUUGUAAACUCCUUUCGACCGCGAGGAAGCCACCUGGUUGGAAGGGUGGUGACGGUAGUGGUAGAAGAAGCACCGGCUAACUACGUG
rnacentral:rRNA from 1 species